UCCCUGGUGGUCCAGUGGUUAAGACUCUGUUCUUCCAAUGCAGGGGGCCUGGGUUUGAUCCCUGGUAAGGGAA
rfam:TPA: Bos taurus chromosome 29, whole genome shotgun sequence.